CUACGGGUGGCACCAGUGGGGGAUAUUGCACAAUGGGCGAAAGCCUGAUGCAGCAACGCCGCGUGAAGGAAGACGGAUUUCGGUCUGUAAACUUCUAUCAGCUGGGAAGAAAAUGACGGUACCAGACUAAGAAGCCCCGGCUAACUACGUGCCAGCAGCCGCGGUAAUACGUAGGGGGCAAGCGUUAUCCGGAUUUACUGGGUGUAAAGGGUACGUAGGCGGUCGCUUAAGUCAGAUGUGAAAGCCCGAAGCUCAACUUCGGGACUGCAUUUGAAACUGGGUGACUAGAGUACAGGAGAGGAAAGCGGAAUUCCUAGUGUAGCGGUGAAAUGCGUAGAUAUUAGGAAGAACACCAGUGGCGAAGGCGGCUUUCUGGACUGUAACUGACGCUGAGGUACGAAAGCGUGGGGAGCGAACAGGAUUAGAUACCCUCGUAGUC
rnacentral:rRNA from 1 species